CAGCAGUGGGGGAAUAUUGCACAAUGGGCGCAAGCCUGAUGCAGCCAUGCCGCGUGUGUGAAGAAGGCCUUCGGGUUGUAAAGCACUUUCAGUAGGGAGGAAGGUAGUGUAGUUAAUAGCUGCAUUAUUUGACGUUAGCGACAGAAGAAGCACCGGCUAACUCCGUGCCAGCAGCCGCGGUAAUACGGAGGGUGCGAGCGUUAAUCGGAAUUACUGGGCGUAAAGCGCAUGCAGGUGGUUUGUUAAGUCAGAUGUGAAAGCCCGGGGCGUCAACCUCGGAAUAGCAUUUGAAACUGGCAGACUAGAGUACUGUAGAGGGGGUAGGAAUUUCAGGUGUAGCGGUGAAAUGCGUAGAGAUCUGAAGGAAUACCGGUGGCGAAGGCGGCCCCCUGGACAGAUACUGACACUCAGAUGCGAAAGCGUGGGGAGCAAACAGGAUUAGAUACCCUGGUAG
rnacentral:rRNA from 1 species